rnacentral:rRNA from 1 species
UAGUCCACGCCGUAAACGAUGAGUGCUAGACGUUGGAGGGUUUUCCUUCAGUGUUGAAGCUAACGCAUGAAGCACUCCGCCUGAGUAGUACGGUCGCAAGAUUAAAACUUAAAGGAAUUGACGGGGGCCCGCACAAGCGGUGGAGCAUGCGGUUUAAUUCGAAGCAACACGAAGAACCUUACCAGCUUUUGACAUGAGAAUUAGGGGUUUUAGAGAUAAAGCCCGUCGGUUCGGCCGGAUUCUACACAGGUGCUGCAUGACUGUCGUCAGCUCGUGUCGUGAGAUGUUGGGUUAAGUCCCGCAACGUGCGCAACCCUCGUCACUAGUUACUAACGGUUCGGCCGAGGACUCUAGUGAGACUGCCUUCGCAAGGAGGAGGAAGGUGAGGACGACGUCAAGUCAUCAUGGCCCUUACGGCUAGGGCAACACACGUGCUACAAUGGCCAGGACAAUGAGAAGCGAUACCGCGAGGUGGAGCAAAUCUAUAAACCUGGUCUCAGUUCGGA